UGAGGAAUAUUGGUCAAUGGACGCAAGUCUGAACCAGCCAAGUAGCGUGCAGGAUGACGGCCCUAUGGGUUGUAAACUGCUUUUAUAUGGGGAUAAAGUAGGGAACGUGUUCCCUUUUGCAGGUACCAUAUGAAUAAGGACCGGCUAAUUCCGUGCCAGCAGCCGCGGUAAUACGGAAGGUUCGGGCGUUAUCCGGAUUUAUUGGGUUUAAAGGGAGCGUAGGCCGUUUGGUAAGCGUGUUGUGAAAUGUAGGAGCUCAACUUCUAGAUUGCAGCGCGAACUGUCAGACUUGAGUGCGCACAACGUAGGCGGAAUUCAUGGUGUAGCGGUGAAAUGCUUAGAUAUCAUGAAGAACUCCGAUUGCGAAGGCAGCUUACGGGAGCGCAACUGACGCUGAAGCUCGAAGGUGCGGGUAUCGAACAGG
rnacentral:rRNA from 1 species